rnacentral:rRNA from 1 species
GACGAACGCUGGCGGCGUGCCUAAUACAUGCAAGUAGAACGCUGAAGAGAGGAGCUUGCUCUUCUUGGAUGAGUUGCGAACGGGUGAGUAACGCGUAGGUAACCUGCCUGGUAGCGGGGGAUAACUAUUGGAAACGAUAGCUAAUACCGCAUAAAAUUGAUUAUUGCAUGAUAAUUAAUUGAAAGAUGCAACUGCAUCACUACCAGAUGGACCUGCGUUGUAUUAGCUAGUUGGUGAGGUAACGGCUCACCAAGGCGACGAUACAUAGCCGACCUGAGAGGGUGAUCGGCCACACUGGGACUGAGACACGGCCCAGACUCCUACGGGAGGCAGCAGUAGGGAAUCUUCGGCAAUGGGGGGAACCCUGACCGAGCAACGCCGCGUGAGUGAAGAAGGUUUUCGGAUCGUAAAGCUCUGUUGUAAGAGAAGAACGGGUGUGAGAAUGGAAAGUUCACACUGUGACGGUAUCUUACCAGAAAAGGACGGCUAACUACGU